rnacentral:rRNA from 1 species
AUACCGAUAGCAAACAAGUACAGUGAUGGAAAUUUGAAAAGAACUUUGAAGAGAGAGUUAAGAGUACGUGAAACUGUAUGGUAGUAAACGCAGCCUUCCUCGAAGUUUCCUCGUGUGGAUCCAACCUAAGAGCAAUGAGCGCUUUGUCCUGUGCUGAGCAGCAAUGCCGGCUGGGUUGAUGGCAGUUUUUUGUCUCGCGGGUGCAUCUUCACACGUUGUUACUGUAGGAACCGUUGGCCGCUUGCACCUAAGGCCUGGGAUGAAGUUUUGGCUGUCUGUAGUGGGCGGCCGAAGCUCCCGGUGUCCUGGCUGCGAGUCCGACGGGCAAUAUGGCCGACUUGUAUAGCAAGCAACCCUUGCUGUUGCGGUUGGCCAUUCCCUACAGAGUAGGUCGGCGGAGGCUGCGACCCGUCUUGAAACACGGAC